GCCUCAGAGAAACAGUGGGCGCUAAUGGCGAUGGCGGGCGGCUCGGUGAGAUCCGAGUGUGCCAGGAGAGAGAGCGGUGUGGUGUGGGAAGGAGGAAUGGUCGCGGGCCAACAGCGCGGGCUCGAGCAUGGCUCAAAGGGAGCGAGGCACGGGGAGAACGUGGGAGAGUGGGAGCGGGGCGUGCGGCUUCGGCCGGCGGUUUCUUCACUGCCGAGAUGGGAGCGCGAGAACGGUUGGAGGGAGGGGAUGGAUCUGAUAGGUGGGUCCCGUAUGGCGGUGAGAGAGAAGAGGGAAGGACGGGGCUGUCGGCUGGGCCUUGACCCAAGAGAGAAAGGGGG
rnacentral:lncRNA from 1 species